GUUAAGUUGGGAUAUUGCUUUGGUGAAUUUAUCUCUGCAUCAUUGAUAACAUUUUAUUCAAACUGCAAACAGGUGCAGAGAGCUGACCAGGUAUUUAGUGAGACAUUGUGGUUAUAUGGACUGCUCUUUUUAACAGGAUAUGAUUUGAAUUUCUGAAUAUUUUAUAGCUCCCACCCUCUCUGUUAGAAAAUUUUUGAAAAGU
rnacentral:misc_RNA from 1 species